GAAGGGGUCGUCCGUUCCCGGACCCAGGAGCUAAGGGUCCUAGAAUCAUCUUCCCCAACCCUCCUCUCUCCUCCCCACUCCUGGAGCGAGCUCGGGCUCGGGUUGGUCUGGACAGGUCCCUGCCUCCAACUAGCUGGAGAGGAGGGGUCCUGUCCCACCCUGAAGAGGUGGGGCCUGCCGGGAAGUGUAGGUGAGGGCGAGACAAUUCUUGAGGAAAGACAGAGGACAGAGACAGGAAAAGACAGCAAAACAGAGACGACAGAUGAGAGAUACAGGGAACCCAGAGAUGAGAGGGAACCUGAGCCUGAACCGGACAGAGAGACCCGGGAGACCCAGACAGAGGGAAGUCCCCUAGACCAAGCCUGGCAGGGAGGGUGUGGGGCUGGCGCGACGGCCGGGGGGGCCACCCUGGCGGGCACAGCCGGCGCCCCAGCUGGCGGGUCGGUUCCUGGGUCCGGAAACUCAAAGUCAGUUACGUAAGGGCCGGAGCGGGGCGCGGGGCUCCAGGCCCCGGAGCCCCCUCCCGCUGCUAGCCGCCAGCCCGCUCCAGCGCUGCUGCGGGCCCGGCAGGAGCAUGCGGGGCCGGGCAAGGCGGGGCUAGGGGGCGGCCGGGGGCUGCGCCGACCUGCAGGGACUCUCCCGCGGACACCGAAUGCAGGACCCCCGCCCCAGACAGCCAGGACCGGCCGGACCCGGACGUGUCUAGCUCCGGAUCCGAGCUCCCGGACCCCCUCUCCAGACUCCCACGCCCCUCCCUGCACCCUGAACUUUAAGAUGCCCAGACUCCUUUGGACCCCAAGUUCGGAUUCUGGAAUUCGGGACCGCUGGACCCCUCAGCCCUGGACCCUUCGACCCUGGUCUCGCCUCUCCCGGGACGGUCCGAGCCCUUGGGGGAACCAAUUCCAAUGCACAGCUUCCAGGGAUGAGCAAUGGAGGACAGAAUGGAAUAGAGCAGGAACUAAGCAAGGAUGCUAAUGCAAGAUAUAGCCGCUGUCCUUCCCAGCUUUGGUGGGAGUUGGCUCUGACUAGAUCUGUCAGGCCUCUGUGAAGUCUUCCUGACUGAGUCUCUCUCUAUGAGCAGAGUGGGGCCAAGAAGCCACCCCAACUCCUACCCCCGGGCAGCCUGGUCGCCCUGGCCCUGCCCACACAGCCUGCCCUGAGGCAUGCUGAGAUCCCAGUCUGCAUCAGGGCUGCCCAUCUGCCUUGGUGCUCAUCACCUUGACAUGAACAGGCCCGAAGGUGAGUGGCCCUGGGUUGAGGACUUUGAAGGGAAGUUGCCCCAGGGCUGGGGGAGGCUCCAGGCUCUGGUGGCCUCCUAAGGAUGGGUCACAUGUGAUGGGAAACAGAUCUGGGUCAGGAAAGAAUUGCCUUCCAGGGAGUUACUUAUUAACCACAGGGGCCAGCGACUAUUUGAGAACACUGAGGAGGCAGAAGUCUCCUGGGGAACGGGGUUCUAACUCCCACCCCAGGGCCAACUUGAAUGCACACAAGGAG
rnacentral:lncRNA from 1 species